UACGUAGGGUGCAAGCGUUGUCCGGAAUUAUUGGGCGUAAAGAGCUCGUAGGCGGUCUGUCGCGUCGGAUGUGAAAAUCCAGGGCUCAACCCUGGACCUGCAUUCGAUACGGGCAGACUAGAGUUCGGCAGGGGAGACUGGAAUUCCUGGUGUAGCGGUGAAAUGCGCAGAUAUCAGGAGGAACACCGGUGGCGAAGGCAGGUCUCUGGGCAUUAACUGACGCUGAGGAGCGAAAGCAUGGGGAGCGAACAGG
rnacentral:rRNA from 1 species